rnacentral:lncRNA from 1 species
UUCAGAUCUAAGUUCUGUUGCUUGCUGGUUGCCUUGAGUGAGUCAGUUAACCCCUCUGGCCUCAGUGGAGAUGAAAAUAAUAUGGGUCUGUUGUGAGCAUUACACAAGUUAAUGUACGUAAAGCUCUCCCCACACUGCCAGGCACACAAUGAGACUCAUGUAAGCAUCAGGUACUACAUUUAGGAAGAGAGAUGGUCAGUGAGCGAGGCAAAAAGUGUCCUCCUCACAGGAUGUUCACCUUACAGAGGGAGACACAAUUGAUAAACAUGAGGAUGCAGUGGCCAGAAGAGACAGCCCAGGGAAGAUCUAAGGUGAACCCUCUGGUUGGAAAGGCUUGGCAAAUUGGAGGAACAAAAAGAAAAAAUAGUAAAUCUACAACAAGGAUCAGCAAACUCCAGUCUACAGGCCAAAUCCAGCCUGC